GGAGGUAUGGCUGAGAGGCUGAAGGCGUUGGUUUGCUAAACCAAAGUACUCUUAAAGUACCAUGGGUUCGAAUCCCAUUUCCUCCG
rnacentral:tRNA from 1 species